AUGUGUAUACACGUCUCGUUCCGAGGCUGUCGGUAUUUUUGUUAAAAUCAAACGUACGCUUCGCGUGUGAUUGUGAUAAUUUCUGUUAGUGUGUGAAGUGAAGGGUUAUAUCAAUCUUGAUCCUGAUAUUACUUACGCCAAUGACAAACCAGCCCGAACGACGAUGGUUCGUCGUCGAUUGAUUAAAGAACCAUGACGUUGUAAACUGUGAGAAAGCAAAAAGUUGACUGCUUCAGUCAUCCGUGGAAUGGUUCGUUCGAUCGAACGCUUUCAACGAUAGUGGACGCCGAGUUCUGACAAUGUAUAGAAGUCGAGCGAGCCUUUCCAGAAAUUUUCCGCGAACAACGAUGGAAUAUCAAGUCGCGAGCUGUUGCAAAUGUAUCGCAAAUUGUCGUUGCGAAGUGCUUAAUGCAGGAGGAGGCGAGGUGGUUGGCCGUCGAGGUGGCGGAACACGAGGAGCCGAGGAGGAUUGGGUGGCCAUCAGAAAUCUGCAUCGGUACAUUCGGCUCGAAUGUAGAUCCACCGCGAUGCAGUAACAUAAUGGCCCCAACAAGCCACGAGGGGUUGGGUCGGUGGCUCGGUUGCCCUCAAAUCAUCACGGGGGUGUGAGGCAAAUGACGUUCGGCCACGCGGAAGUAACGCGAUAAUGGCAGCCAUGAAAGGCCUCGUCGCGAUAUCUGGUGCUUUGAUGUCCUCUCUCGAAGCUACUCGCUGAAAAUCCAUUCUUUUCCAUCAACACUUUAAAUCCUUGAACCAAUGCGCCUGCUGAACGACGUUUCGUUCUAUCGAUCGUCGCUUUAUUACGAUCUGGAUGACGUAAUGAUCGCAAUAAAAGUAUCCUCUCUAUAUGAUUGCAAUACUCUUCGAACUAGACCUUUCAAGCUAUUCAGUCCAUCGCAGUUGGAUUCAGUAGAACGAUCUAAGUUAGCAAUUCGUGUCACAAAUUUUAAUUUUAAUUGGAAAAUUAACGCAUUAACUAGGCUCAAAGAUAAUUAAAUACUUCAUCGUCGCUAUUAACACAACGUUGCGUCAAUAGCAACGCCUGUUCGUUAAUCUCUAUCCAUAAACGGAAGGGUGAGUUUUAUUCAAGACACUCCGCGAUACCAGAUCGAUGAUUGUAAAGAAGAAAACGUAGUUCCCACUUUGCCCAGUCGGUCGGAUCAUUACAGUAUCCUUCGAACGCUCUGCUCUCUAUUUAUCAAACUCUCCCGCGGAACCCCUCGCUGUUCCAUUGAACCAGCUCGCCACUUACCGAUCUCGCGAAGAUCAAUUCCGAAAAGCAUCGUUUUUUUCUCUCCACCUUUGCAAAAGGAGUAGCAAGAGGCGAAAUUACAUCUCGAACGGGCCGAGGUCGCAGUCUACCGGAACACAGAGACUCGUCCGUAGUCGCAGUUUGUCGGCCAAUGGGACCAGACAGAAACGCAAUCGCAAUGCAGGCCAAUCCCUCUGCCCCGUUCGUCCACCCGCUCGCUCGCCCUCCCGUUCCCGGUAAUGACAAUCAUUACGGGGAAUGAUUGCAGCGUCGGGUCCGCCAGCGCGCCAGCCGCUAUUGGGGGAUGGAAACCACCUUAUAGAGUCUCUCCUCGGUCCUCGAUGCGAGCGGAUUGUCACAUGCUCCCGGCGCGGCAAAGUGUUUCCUCUUCGUCGCGGCCUUCCAUCGUCCUGGCUACGCGAUCGAAAAAAGAAGAAAAGGUUGGACGAUCGCGUGGAAAGGGAAUAAGAAGAUUCCCAGUGGCGCCUGGAAUUACGUCUGGACGAGAACCAAUACCACGCUCGAUCACGUGUACUCGAAGAGGAUUUUGAAAGAGCGUCGUUCUUCGGACCCUUCGAUCGGAGUGUGAUGAAACUGGGUCAGGUGGUUCUUUGAAAUUCGUGGGGAAAUGGAAGCGACGGCCAGUGCACAAGUGCAUUUUGGGGCGUUUAUAAAGACAGUUUAAUUUUUGGAAAAUUUCUUGGGCAUCUGUGAUCAAUGGAGAUGGGUGUUUUAUAAUGGAAAACUGGAAAGACUGGAACUUGGAAGAUUGGAAAGUUUUUAGAAACGACUGUUUUAUGCUGAAGAGGACACAAUUUCUCGAAUAUAAGGAGUUUGUGCGACGGUAAUCGUGAUGGGAGAAGAAUAUGGCGGCCGAGACACCACGUGACUGCCCUCUGCAUGACAGGUCCAUGGAUCCUCAAGCUGUGUCGGUCACUGGAGACCCGCCAAGUUUACCGAAACUUUGCAAUACCAUGGACACACGAAGUUUGGCCUUAAUCGUCGUUUGAAAACCGAUCGUUCCCCAGACUCUAUCAAUUCCUUCGUCCAUUGGUCGACAAAAGCCCUGAACAAUAUUCAUGGUGCAGCUACGCCGACACGUGAACAGGGGGGAAGGAAAAAAGGUGAAAAAAAAGAGAAGCGGAACCUUGAACCAAUCGUAAAUGGCGAACGGAGUGAAAGCGGUCGGUCUCCGCGGUUUUCCCAGAAGAGCGCGAGCCACGAAAUUAUCGACCUGUAAAUCGGAACGAAGGAUCUCGUUUCUUACUCGACCGCCGUAAACUCGAAUAUACGUCGUGGAAAAACGACCGCAGGAAAAUAGAACGUACAUUUGAAAUGGACCGAAGUUCAGAUGGCGAUACUGAUAACAAGAACCUCUAAUCGCGGACGGAUCUACUUCAUCAAUCAAAAUGGAACUGAACGUUGCAUAAAAAUGCUCGGCUCGUGUCAUCCGUUCCGUUGGAUUACAAACGAUGGUACAAACAUCGACCAUUGAUUCUCCAUGAUUUCCAUCGGUGACGUCCCUUCGUGAUGGGAGAAAGCUC